AGGAGUUCGUUUUAGAUCCGGCCUCGAGUUGCUGUCUCCCGGCUCCAUUUCUCUCAGGCCGGCGAGGCCCAUCCCAGACGUCUAGAGGGAAGGAAGUGAACAAAAUGAAGAAAGAGAAAUGCUGCAAUGAAGGCAGUCCACUUUACUUCUCAGUUGAUGAAGUUCAUGGGAGCCAGUGAAAGGGUUACAUUGCCAGAAGGGAACAUUUGGAUAUGGGAAAAGUAUGAGUCCAUGCAACAUGAAUAUGGACUACUCUGGAGGGAACUUGAAAAGACAUCUUUAUUGUGCACAAAUAGAAUGAAUGCCAUAUACAACUUCCCAAUAGAUCAGGAAGUUAAAUCCCUGAUAAAAAAAAAAAAAGAACCUUGAAUGAUGUGAAACCUCAGCUGAACAAGAUGCUUUCUUAUUAGAACAAAUUAUGUAAAGGAUUAAAAUUUGGAAAAGUUUCAGAUAUACAGUGGUUAGGGAAAUGAACCAGGAUUUUCCGAUGCUUAAAAGAAAAGAACCUAAUGAAACAAUCUGGAUCAAUUCUUUGCCAUAAUAUUCAAAUUGACUAUCAUCAUGGGAAUUAAAAAUGUG